rnacentral:rRNA from 1 species
GUCCACGCUGUAAACUAUGAACACUAGGUAUUGGAGGAUUUGACCCCUUCAGUGCCGUAGCUAACGCGUUAAGUGUUCCGCCUGGGAAGUACGGUCGCAAGACUAAAACUCAAAGGAAUUGACGGGGCCCGCACAAGCGGUGGAUUAUGUGGUUUAAUUCGAAGCAACGCGCAGAACCUUACCAAGGCUUGAAAUCCUACGAAUCCCUUUUAAACGAGGGAGUGCUCUUCGGAGAAUGUAGUGACAGGCGCUGCAUGGCUGUCGU